GACGAACGCUGGCGGCGUGCUUAACACAUGCAAGUCGAACGGAAAGGCCCUGCUUUUGCGGGGUGCUCGAGUGGCGAACGGGUGAGUAACACGUGAGUAACCUGCCCUUGACUUUCGGAUAACUUCAGGAAACUGGGGCUAAUACCGGAUAGGAGCUCCUGCUGCAUGGUGGGGGAUGGAAAGUUUCGGCGGUUGGGGAUGGACUCGCGGCUUAUCAGCUUGUUGGUGGGGUAGUGGCUUACCAAGGCUUUGACGGGUAGCCGGCCUGAGAGGGUGACCGGCCACAUUGGGACUGAGAUACGGCCCAGACUCCUACGGGAGGCAGCAGUGGGGAAUAUUGCACAACGGGCGGAAGCCUGAUGCGGCAACGCCGCGUGCGGGAUGACGGCCUUCGGGUUGUAAACCGCUGUCGCCUGUGACGAAGCGUGAGUGACGGUAAUGGGUAAAGAAGCACCGGCUAACUACGUG
rnacentral:rRNA from 1 species